CAAGUACUCCCUCCAUCUGGAAUUACUUGUCAUCAAAAUGGAUAUGUGUAGAACUAAAAUACAUCUAGAUACAUCCAUUUCAAUGACAAGUAUUUUCGGACGGAGGGAGUACAAG
rfam:Triticum aestivum genome assembly, contig: Triticum_aestivum_CS42_TGACv1_scaffold_049499_1BS